AGAGUUUGAUCAUGGCUCAGAUUGAACGCUGGCGGCAUGCCUAACACAUGCAAGUCGAACGGAAACGAUGGGAGCUUGCUCCCAGGCGUCGAGUGGCGGACGGGUGAGUAAUACAUAGGAAUCUGCCCAGUAGCGGGGGACAACCUGGUGAAAACCAGGCUAAUACCGCAUACGACCUACGGGUGAAAGCAGGGGAUCUUCGGACCUUGCACUACUGGAUGAGCCUAUGUCAGAUUAGCUUGUUGGUGGGGUAAUGGCCUACCAAGGCGACGAUCUGUAGCUGGUCUGAGAGGACGAUCAGCCACACUGGGACUGAGACACGGCCCAGACUCCUACGGGAGGCAGCAGUGGGGAAUAUUGCACAAUGGGCGCAAGCCUGAUGCAGCAAUGCUGCGUGUGUGAAGAAGGCCUGCGGGUUGUAAAGCACUUUCAGUGGGGAGGAAACAGUUGCGGGUUAAUAUCCCGUGGCCUUGACGUUACCCACAGAAGAAGCACCGGCUAACUCUGUGCCAGCAGCCGCGGUAAUACAGAGGGUGCGAGCGUUAAUCGGAAUUACUGGGCGUAAAGCGCGCGUAGGCGGCUUGGUCAGUCGGAUGUG
rnacentral:rRNA from 1 species